UGUGUAGGCGGUUGCUUAAGUUUGGUGUGAAAUCUCCCGGCUCAACUGGGAGGGUGCGCCGAAUACUGAGUGACUAGAGUGCGGGAGAGGAGAGUGGAAUUCCUGGUGCAGCGGUGAAAUGCGUAGAUAUCAGGAGGAACACCGGUGGUGUAGACGGCUCUCUGGACCGUAACUGACGCUGAGACACGAAAGCGUGGGUAGCAAACAGGAUUAGAUACCCUGGUAGUCCACGCCCUAAACGAUGCGUAUUUGGUGUGGGCAGUUCAGUCUGUCCGUGCCGGAGCUAACGCGUUAAAUAUGCCGCCUGGGGAGUACAGUCGCAAGGCUGAA
rnacentral:rRNA from 1 species